rnacentral:rRNA from 1 species
UGCGUAGGCGGUGCAGAAAGUUGGGUGUGAAAGCCCUCGGCUCAACCGAGGAAUUGCGCCCAAAACUGCUGCACUAGAGGAAGACAGAGGUACGCGGAACUUAGGGUGGAGCGGUGAAAUGCGUUGAUAUCCUAAGGAACACCGGUGGCGAAAGCGGCGUACUGGGUCUUAUCUGACGCUGAGGCACGAAAGCUAGGGGAGCGAACGG